AGAGUUUGAUCCUGGCUCAGGAUGAACGCUAGCUACAGGCUUAACACAUGCAAGUCGAGGGGCAGCAUGAACUUAGCUUGCUAAGUUUGAUGGCGACCGGCGCACGGGUGAGUAACACGUAUCCAACCUUCCGUUUACUCAGGGAUAGCCUUUCGAAAGAAAGAUUAAUACCUGAUAGUAUGGUGAGAUUGCAUGAUAACACCAUUAAAGAUUUAUUGGUAAACGAUGGGGAUGCGUUCCAUUAGGUAGUAGGCGGGGUAACGGCCCACCUAGCCUGCGAUGGAUAGGGGUUCUGAGAGGAAGGUCCCCCACAUUGGAACUGAGACACGGUCCAAACUCCUACGGGAGGCAGCAGUGAGGAAUAUUGGUCAAUGGGCGAGAGCCUGAACCAGCCAAGUAGCGUGAAGGAUGACUGCCCUAUGGGUUGUAAACUUCUUUUAUAAAGGAAUAAAGUCGGGUAUGGAUACCCGUUUGCAUGUACUUUAUGAAUAAGGAUCGGCUAACUCCGUGCCAGCAGCCGCGGUAAUACGGAGGAUCCGAGCGUUAUCCGGAUUUAUUGGGUUUAAAGGGAGCGUAGAUGGAUGUUUAAGUCAGUUGUGAAAGUUUGCGGCUCAACCGUAAAAUUGCAGUUGAUACUGGAUAUCUUGAGUGCAGUUGAGGCAGGCGGAAUUCGUGGUGUAGCGGUGAAAUGCUUAGAUAUCACGAAGAACUCCGAUUGCGAAGGCAGCCUGCUAAGCUGCAACUGACAUUGAGGCUCGAAAGUGUGGGUAUCAAACAGGAUUAGAUACCCUGGUAGUCCACACGGUAAACGAUGAAUACUCGCUGUUUGCGAUAUACAGCAAGCGGCCAAGCGAAAGCGUUAAGUAUUCCACCUGGGGAGUACGCCGGCAACGGUGAAACUCAAAGGAAUUGACGGGGGCCCGCACAAGCGGAGGAACAUGUG
rnacentral:rRNA from 1 species